CCAGAGAAGAACACUUUGUGCUUUAAUACUGAUAAAGAAUUAUUUUGUAUAAUAUUUUUUCAUCUAUCACGGAGUCUGGUAAUCAUUUUCCCUACAAAAUCCAUCAUAUGACAUGUGUGCCCUCAUGGAAUUGCCCAGAGAAGAAUGCAAGAUCAUACAUCUUUUGGAAAGAGUAGUUCCUGAGCUUCACCAGUUCACUGUAGACCUAGGCAUCCAAGUUUAUGGUAUCUAG
rnacentral:lncRNA from 1 species